AGAGUUUGAUCCUGGCUCAGAAUCAACGCUGGCGGCGUGCCUAACACAUGCAAGUCGAACGAGAAAGUGGGAGCAAUCCCAUGAGUAAAGUGGCGACCGGGUGAGUAACACGUGACUAACCUACCCUACAGCGGGGGAUAACCUCGGGAAACCGGGGCUAAUACCGCAUAACAUCGCAAGAUCAAAGAAGCAAUUCGCUGAAGGAGGGGGUCGCGGCUGAUUAGUUAGUUGGUGAGGUAACGGCCCACCAAGACGAAGAUCAGUAGCCGGCCUGAGAGGGCGCACGGCCACACUGGAACUGAAACACGGUCCAGACUCCUACGGGAGGCAGCAGUGGGGAAUUUUGCGCAAUGGGGGAAACCCUGACGCAGCAACGCCGCGUGGAGGAUGAAGUCCCUUGGGAUGUAAA
rnacentral:rRNA from 1 species